rnacentral:rRNA from 1 species
CGCUGGCGGCGUGCCUAAUACAUGCAAGUCGAACGGUCUUUCUAUGGAAGCUUGCUUCCACUGAGAAGAUAGUGGCGAACGGGUGAGUAACACGUGGGUAACCUGCCCAUAAGAGGGGGGAUAACAUCCGGAAACGGGUGCUAAUACCGCAUAGUUUUCUUGAUCGCAUGAUCGGGAAAGGAAAGACGGCCUUUGUGCUGUCGCUUAUGGAUGGACCCGCGGCGUAUUAGUUAGUUGGUGAGGUAACGGCUCACCAAGACGAUGAUACGUAGCCGACCUGAGAGGGUGAUCGGCCACAUUGGGACUGAGACACGGCCCAAACUCCUACGGGAGGCAGCAGUAGGGAAUCUUCCGCAAUGGACGAAAGUCUGACGGAGCAACGCCGCGUGAGUGAAGAAGGUUUUUCCGGAUCGUAAAACUCUGUUGUCAGAGAAGAACAAGUUGGAGAGUAACUGCUCCAGCCUUGACGGUAUCUGACCAGAAAGCCACGGCUAACUACGUGCCAGCAGCCGC